rnacentral:tRNA from 1 species
GGGGUUCUAGCUCAUCGGUAGAGCGCUCGCUUAGCAUCCCCCGCGGUGUGUGCGAGAGGUACUGGAUUCGACUCCCAGGUACUCCA